ensembl:ncRNA
UAUUGAAGGAAUUGAUAUAUGC